rnacentral:rRNA from 1 species
GACGAACGCUGGCGGCGUGCCUAAUACAUGCAAGUAGAACGCACAGUCUAUACUGUAGCUUGCUACACCAUAAACUGUGAGUUGCGAACGGGUGAGUAACGCGUCGGUAACCUGCCUGGUAGCGGGGGAUAACUAUUGGAAACGAUAGCUAAUACCGCAUACUAUUGAUUAUUGCAUGAAAAUUGAUUGAAAGAUGCUAUUGCAUCACUACCAGAUGGACUUGCGUUGUAUUAGCUAGUAGGUGAGGUAACGGCUCACCUAGGCGACGAUACAUAGCCGACAUGCGAGGAUGAUCGGCCACACUGGGACUGAGACACGGCCCAUACUGCUACGGGAGGCAGCAGUAGGGAAUCUUCGGCAAUGGACAAAAGUCUGACCGAGCAAGGCCGCGUGAGUGAAGAAGGUCUUCGGAUCGUAGAGCUCUGUUGUAGGGGAAGAACGGGUGUGAGAGUGGAAAGUUCACACUGUGACGGUAUCGGAUCAGAAAGGAACGGCUAACUACGUG